rnacentral:misc_RNA from 1 species
UGAUUAGCAGCAUCUUGCCAUUCACGGUCGGUACUACACGUGCAUUUUUUUCCUGGCCAGAGGUGCAGCCAUGUUUCAUACGUCACGCCUCGCCGUUCCACGGCUCGCCACAAAGACGAGUGCGCUACUUACACGGCCAGGCAAGGCGGAGAAGUCUGUCGCACCACCAAAUCCUGAGGCUAGAACUGAAAACAGCACCGUUAGUGGCGUAACAGAGAGGACCACCGCUCCUCUGCAGCCUCCCAUUAUCGACAGCACAAAGGAAGGCAGAACACAUAUUCUUCCACAAAAAGUCUUGAAGGAACUGCUCAACUCUGUGUCGGCCGGGCAGCAGAACUUUCUCUUUGGCUCUGACAAGGACGCUGGCGACCCCACCGUUGGGGUGCUUCGUGCUACUGGAAGCUUCUUUGAAUCGAUCAAUACGGCUUACGAAGGCCGUAUGCUUCAAGAGCAGCAGGUCGAGGUAGAAAACUUUGUUGCAAAGCGUCGCAUACAUUACAUGCAGCGUCUCAACGAAGAAACAGAAGAGUUUCGGCGUGAGCAAAAGGAAAUUCACGAUGAGAUACAACGGUUGGAGGCGGAAAAGUACAAGAACGACCUCAACAACGAUGUUAUUCAGUUUACAAAGGCCAGAGAAACAGAGUAUGAAGCUCGCCUGCAUGCGGAUGUGGAGAAGUAUCACAACGCACUUCUUGCAUACCGAGCGCGUGCGAAGAAGAGUGACCAACUCGGUGCCAACGGUGAGACCCCGCUGAAACAGCUGAAUAUGAACGUGAUUGAGAUCAUGCAAGAAAUGGAGAUGGACGACACCCUGCGCGACUUUGGCGAUGCUGCUGGCAUCGGGAACGACCUUUCCGAUCAGGAUAUUCGUAGCUACGUAGUGCAGCGAACCUGUUUCUACGAAAAGGUUGUGCAAGAUGAGGUCCACGAGUUCACAAAAAGGCGCAAGAGCUUUUAUGAGGAUCUUCUGGAAGCCCGAGCAGUUCGUCACGCGGCCAAGGUUCGAGCGGACACGGAAAAGUUUCACAGCCAGCGGCAGAGCUACUACGACGAACGACUGACUGCUGACGGCUCGUGGAUGGCCAAGUGCUUUCAGGAGCACUACAAUCGCUGUUUUCUGCAGUCGUACGCGCGCCGAGCCUGGAUCGAGCACCGCCGCUACCAAGCCACGUUGGAGGGCAUCAAGCUUUUCACGGAAAACGGCGAGAAGGUGCCGGCGAUAUCGAACCCAGCGGAUAUCAGUAUCUCCACUUUAAACGCUGAAAUACCGCUUUCCACAAUCCUCGACAUGUACGAAAGCGAAAAUAUGGCAGAGGUUACACGAGAUGUUUUCCUCAAAGCUGCGCGCCGCGUUGCGGCCGACUAUGCGCCCUACAGCGUCGACGAACGCCCUUCGGCGUGAACACUACGUUCUUAUAGACCGCGAACAGUACACUUGAGCGAUUUAAACCUUUUUCAUAUUAUUUUUUUUUCCCCUUGUUUCAUGAACCAUAAUAUCGGAGGACACCCCAGCGUGGUGUGAGGGUCGAGUACCCACCCCCGUGGGGGGGGUCAGGGCGAUGUGUCGCCGCUGAUGUCGGCAGUGUCAGGUCCAGGACGGCGCUGCGUCGGAGCCACCUGCGACAGUGAGUACACUUGUGCCAUCCACAUGAUGGGCAGAGUGUCGACGUGACUUGGACGCAUUCCACCUGGGUCUGACUGCCUGCUGGUGGGGGCCUCACCUACCCUGAGGGGGAUGCACCACAUGGCGGUCGGCAUGAUUGGGAGCGACUGUGAGGCAACCUGCGAAGCGGAGACUGGGUAUAGCUUAGGGCAGAGGCCGUGCUCAGAUGACUGAGUCGGCAUUGCUAUACCGCGUGUCUACCGCUUCCUUGCACCACGCAAUGGGCCUGUGACAAGCCAGAUAGAGUUGAACAGAUGUCCUAUGGCAUGAUAGAAACGUGGCAAAAAAAAAGAAAACUUUUAUCGUGACGUCGAGCGCCUCUUUUGAUUAGCUAACAAGCUGUUUUAC